CGGUACCACACCCCCUUGCCGCAGGGCGGAGAAGGCAUCUUCGGAGAACCAAGUCCCCCCUUUCCCAGUUCUCUUAACAGCUCUGAUGUGGACUCGUGCCCUGCACGUGAGUGACAUCAUGUAGGAAGUUCGAUUAACUUUAUAACGGCAAUGUCAACCUGUGGAGGCGUCUGUGGAAGAUGGCUCCUAGUCUCAUGGAUUUUUACCACAUCCACGGUGGCAUCAGAAAUUCCUUUUCUAUGGUAAAGAAAGAAGCCCAGGUUUCCAAAUGUCUGUCUUGUCCAGAUCUCUUAAGCCUAGACUUCCCAACCUUUAAUCCCAUGAGGUCUCUAUAAAAAAGCACUAAUUGUCAUCAGCAUUUGCAAGGACUUUUUAUUAGACUGCUGGGGAUUCCUCCCUACCCCCACCCCUCACUCCUGCAAGGUAGCCCUGGCUGUCCUGGAGCUCAUUCUGUAGACCAGGCUGGCCUCGAACUCAGAGAUCCGCCUGCCCCUGCCUCCCGAGUGCUGGGAUUAAAGGCGUGCUCCACCACCGUCUCCAGCCUGUCCGGAGAUUAUUAAAUCACCUGUUCUCUGUCUUUGGGGUAACAGAUUGUAAACUCUUUCUGUACUAAAUCCCUGCGGCCUGAUUCAUGUUCCAGGAGCAGCCUAAAGAUUUACUUGCUCUCUCUCUCUCUCUCUCUCUCUCUCUCUCUCUCUCUCUGUGUGUGUGUGUGUGUGUGUGUGUGUGUGUGUGUGUGUGUGUGUGUGUUUGGCUUUCUUGAGACAGGGUUUCUUUGUGUAACAGCCCUAACAGUCCUGGACCCUGCUUUGUAGAAAUCUGCCUGCCUCUGCCUACCAGUGCUGGGAUUAAAGGCGUUUACCACCACACCCAGCUUUGGAUUUGCUUUCAUAAUUCUCCUUUCUGAUAUCUAUUUUAACAGUGUGGGCUUGGAAGAUGCCAAGUUGAGUACUUAUGCCUUCAAAGACUAAGCUCCCGUUUACUGCUGACGGUUACAUGGCACUGAGUGUGCCCUAUCAGAUGUCCUAGGAAAGUUAGGCAGCCCCAAAGCUAUGCUGCUUGCCUAUUGGUCGGCAAGGGAGUCCUACCAUCAGACACUGAAAUCUGCAGUGCCCUAGAUAGACCCACACCUUCUAACUCCAGUAAACAUAGAGAAACCUAAUGGUCACCUAGAAUUCAAAUUUUAAAAGCCACCUUCCAUUUAGCUAGCUCUCUUCAACUUCAAACCCAAGAGAGAUGCAUUCCAGACUUCAUUCCUGCUCUUAUAUGUCAGGGUCCAGCCUCGAUGAGUUCGUACAUUCCAAGGUAGGGGCGUGUGGAUUGGAAAUGUUAGGCAGAAUAUAAAAUAACAAAAUACAGAGACAUAGGAUAGAGUCAGAAGGGCAACCCAGUGAAUACUGAAUCCGCCCAUGCUUAUUUCUUAUGAUCUUUAAAUGCCCCAAUUCAAAAAAGGGGGGGCGGGGAGAAAGCGAGACUUUCUUCUACCACGACACAAGGAACAAAGUGAUUACCAUCUUAAUACCCCAAACACCAAGUAACCACACCAGAGGUCAAGACAUCCUGUUAGGAGCCACACCACAAAUCUCCUGUCAGUAACCUUGAAGAAGCAAGACUAGGUCUGAACUCUGACCUUUAGUCAAGAUGGCACGGAUCCACUAAUGUGGGUUCCUACACUUGUCUCCUCCGCUUUCCUCCUGACCCAUCUUGUAUCGUCAGUUACGACUCCUGAGUCUCCCCUUAACUCCGUUCCUCUCCAGCACCACAGCCAGCCUGCUGUUCGCUCACACCCUCCUCAUCCUCCCUACUCUCACCAGCACAGAUCGGUGCCCCUCCAGCGGAUUCGCCCAGCCACGGGCUUGAGAGUUCUCAUCCACAAAGAUCUCACAGUUUCCCAACUCGGAAUGAAGUCCAAGCUGUCCUUGACAAGCUGUCCUUACAGUCUGGACCCGCCAUGUUCCUCCCCAUUUCUCGGCCUCAUUCUCCCAUCAGUCUCUGCUCCUCCAUUCUUUGAUGCAUGCAUUAAUCUUGCUCUGGGAUAUUGAAGACGCAAGUGAUAAAAACAGGUGCACAUCUCCUCUACCACCAAAGAGCAAGUGGCAAGAGUUCAAAGUCAGUCUUGCUGCGGUGUCUGCAGCGUCUAGACCAGUGCGUGGCCAGCAGCAGAUCCUCCAUAGCUGUUCGUGGAGUGAUCGGAUGAGUUCAUUAAUGAAAGACUGAAUUAAAAUUGUGAGUCCCCUACCGAUUCCAGGUUCCAGGAUGCUAGAUGACGGCACUCUCAUGGGAUCAAAUCAACACACUGAGAAUCUGAUGUUGACUAUAAACAGAACAUUUAUGGAAAGCCUGCCGUUCCUGCCACUGUGUAAGGGACUUGACGCAUCAAGUCAUUGGAUCCAGACAAUAAUCCUGAAAGGGGCAACUGGAUUCUCGGGAGACCUGGGGACCUUUGCUAGGAUGGGGUUUCUGGAGGAACUGCAGCCGUCCAUGCUUGCAAGCUGUGGCUCCUGGAGACGCGUGCAAGAAUGGCAUACAGGAAGUGAAGCCGCUGCUUCCCGGGACACGUGGAGCUCUGCACGUUAGCAGAGCCACUUCGCAGCCCAGAAGACAAGCAGAACCAGGCUGUUAGGGCACGACCUUGGGGACAGGUAGAAUUCAGAGCAUGGGAAACCACACACUUGGCCUAAUCACUGGCUUUCUCACAAAGGACUCAGUAAGGGACUUCCCUUGACCUCAGCGCCCAGAUGAUUACUGAUUAAUCCCAGAAACCAAACAAUGACUGUUUCUAGUAAGCUGAUUGGCCUCACAAAAGGCUUCUUUGGGGACUGAACUUUUCAUGGAGUAGCCAGGCAGGAAAUUUCCCAUAGGUGCAGAGGGAAAUUGCAGUUCCUGCUGGAGUAGAUGUGGAAAUAAACCAAGCCUUCGUGUUUCUUAGCUUUUUGUUACUGUAACAAAUAGCUGAAGUAAACUACGGAUAAAGACAAGGGUCAUUUGGGCUCAAAGGAUUUGGAGAUUCUAGCCCAUGAUCAGGCUGACUCAUUGUUUCUAGGUAUCU